rnacentral:rRNA from 1 species
AAAUUGAAGAGUUUGAUCAUGGCUCAGAUUGAACGCUGGCGGCAGGCCUAACACAUGCAAGUCGAACGGUAACAGGAAGCAGCUUGCUGCUUUGCUGACGAGUGGCGGACGGGUGAGUAAUGUCUGGGAAACUGCCUGAUGGAGGGGGAUAACUACUGGAAACGGUGGCUAAUACCGCAUAACGUCGCAAGACCAAAGAGGGGGACCUUCGGGCCUCUUGCCAUCAGAUGUGCCCAGAUGGGAUUAGCUAGUUGGUGAGGUAACGGCUCACCAAGGCGACGAUCCCUAGCUGGUCUGAGAGGAUGACCAGCCACACUGGAACUGAGACACGGUCCAGACUCCUACGGGAGGCAGCAGUGGGGAAUAUUGCACAAUGGGCGCAAGCCUGAUGCAGCCAUGCCGCGUGUAUGAAGAAGGCCUUCGGGUUGUAAAGUACUUUCAGCGGGGAGGAAGGUGUUGUGGUUAAUAACCGCAGCAAUUGACGUUACCCGCAGAAGAAGCACCGGCUAACUCCGUGCCAGCAGCCGCGGUAAUACGGAGGGUGCAAGCGUUAAUCGGAAUUACUGGGCGUAAAGCGCACGCAGGCGGUCUGUCAAGUCGGAUGUGAAAUCCCCGGGCUCAACCUGGGAACUGCAUUCGAAACUGGCAGGCUUGAGUCUUGUAGAGGGGGGUAGAAUUCCAGGUGUAGCGGUGAAAUGCGUAGAGAUCUGGAGGAAUACCGGUGGCGAAGGCGGCCCCCUGGACAAAGACUGACGCUCAGGUGCGAAAGCGUGGGGAGCAAACAGGAUUAGAUACCCUGGUAGUCCACGCCGUAAACGAUGUCUACUUGGAGGUUGUGCCCUUGAGGCGUGGCUUCCGGAGCUAACGCGUUAAGUAGACCGCCUGGGGAGUACGGCCGCAAGGUUAAAACUCAAAUGAAUUGACGGGGGCCCGCACAAGCGGUGGAGCAUGUGGUUUAAUUCGAUGCAACGCGAAGAACCUUACCUGGUCUUGACAUCCACAGAACUUUCCAGAGAUGGAUUGGUGCCUUCGGGAACUGUGAGACAGGUGCUGCAUGGCUGUCGUCAGCUCGUGUUGUGAAAUGUUGGGUUAAGUCCCGCAACGAGCGCAACCCUUAUCCUUUGUUGCCAGCGAUUAGGUCGGGAACUCAAAGGAGACUGCCAGUGAUAAACUGGAGGAAGGUGGGGAUGACGUCAAGUCAUCAUGGCCCUUACGACCAGGGCUACACACGUGCUACAAUGGCGCAUACAAAGAGAAGCGACCUCGCGAGAGCAAGCGGACCUCAUAAAGUGCGUCGUAGUCCGGAUUGGAGUCUGCAACUCGACUCCAUGAAGUCGGAAUCGCUAGUAAUCGUGGAUCAGAAUGCCACGGUGAAUACGUUCCCGGGCCUUGUACACACCGCCCGUCACACCAUGGGAGUGGGUUGCAAAAGAAGUAGGUAGCUUAACCUUCGGGAGGGCGCUUACCACUUUGUGGUUCAUGACUGGGGUGAAGUCGUAACAAGGUAACCGUAGGGGAACCUGCGGUUGGAUCACCUCCUUA